GACGAACGCUGGCGGCGCGCUUAACACAUGCAAGUCGAGCGAAGCGGCGGACGGGUGAGUAACACGUGAGUAACCUGUCUUAGACAUUGGGAUAGCCCAGGGAAACCGGGAUUAAUACCAAAGGGUCUAAGAUGGACUCGCGUCCCAUUAGCUAGUUGGUGAGGUAACGGCCCACCAAGGCGACGAUGGGUAGCCGGCCUGAGAGGGUGAACGGCCACAUUGGAACUGAGAGACGGUUCAGACUGUACGGGAGGCAGCAGUGGGGAAUAUUGCGCAAUGGAGGGAACUCUGAUGCAGCGACGCCGCGUGGGGGGUGAGGGCUUUCGGGUUGUAAACCUCUCAGGGCGCUGGGUGGGUAGGUGGAGAAGAAGCGCCGGCUAACUACGUGCCAGCAGCCGCGGUAAUUC
rnacentral:rRNA from 1 species